rnacentral:lncRNA from 1 species
UGUGUGAGUGUGAGAGGAACCGUCAAUUGUCUCUUUCGGGUUCUUGAGCUAAGGUUCGGUUCUUUCUGAAGAACCAGACUAUGACACGUUCUUUGAUGAACUUAUUCAGGUUCUCCAAAUGACCCUGUAUUGUAAGUGUGUGUGUGUCUCACUCUCUCGCUGUGUGUUUGUCAGGCUUACGGAUGCCGUGAGAGAGCUGGAGCGUCUCAAAGCUCGUGUGGAGGACAGAGAACAGGAAGUCACAACACUCAACAGGAAACUACAGGAUCAGAGGAGUCUUGAGGAGACUGAAGUUCAUUCACUGAAGAAACACACUGCAGCACUGCAGAACACACUCAGAGACAUCACACAGGUACAACACACACACACACACACUCUCACUCACUCACUCACUCACUCACU